GACGAACGCUGGCGGCGUGCUUAACACAUGCAAGUCGAACGGAAAGGCCCUGCUUUUGUGGGGUGCUCGAGUGGCGAACGGGUGAGUAACACGUGAGUAACCCGCCCUUGACUUUGGGAUAACUUCAGGAAACUGGGGCUAAUACCGGAUAGGAGCUCCUGCUGCAUGGUGGGGGUUGGAAAGUUUCGGCGGUUGGGGAUGGACUCGCGGCUUAUCAGCUUGUUGGUGGGGUAGUGGCUUACCAAGGCUUUGACGGGUAGCCGGCCUGAGAGGGUGACCGGCCACAUUGGGACUGAGAUACGGCCCAGACUCCUACGGGAGGCAGCAGUGGGGAAUAUGGCACAAUGGGCGGAAGCCUGAUGCAGCAACGCCGCGUGCGGGAGGACGGCCUUCGGGUUGUAAACCGCUUUCGCCUGUGACGAAGCGUGAGUGACGGGAAUGGGUAAAGAAGCACCGGCUAACUACGU
rnacentral:rRNA from 1 species